ACAUGAACAUGAGACAAGAUCUUAUAAUAAUUUUCAUAUAUAUAGAACCAACACUGGUGGCGGAACUAAAAACUUAUUCUACAAGGGACUACGGGAAUUUAACAAUUUACCAAAUGCCAUUAAAGAGGAAAAUACUGUAAGAGGGUUUAAAAGUAAAUUAUUGGAAUACCUAGAGCGUUAGUUAGUUGGAAAAUAUGUAUAUUAUAUAUAGUUACUAUAUCAAUAUUGUUUAUCUUCAUUAUUGUUAUUAUCUAUAUACAUAUUUGAAUUUUAUUAAUAUUUUUGGCACUGUGGAAAUUUAAAUUAUUAAUUAGUUAUUAUGUCUUGUAAGAUUAGGAUGUAUCCUAUAAUAAUAAAGAUUACAUUACAU